UACGUAGGGUGCAAGCGUUAAUCGGAAUACUGGGCGUAAAGCGUGCGCAGGCGGUUUUGUAAGUCUGUCGUGAAAUCCCCGGGCUCAACCUGGGAAUUGCGAUGGAGACUGCAAGGCUAGAAUCUGGCAGAGGGGGGUAGAAUUCCACGUGUAGCAGUGAAAUGCGUAGAGAUGUGGAGGAACACCGAUGGCGAAGGCAGCCCCCUGGGUCAAGAUUGACGCUCCAUGCACGAA
rnacentral:rRNA from 1 species